UCUCUGUCUCUCUCUCAAAAAUAAAUAAACAUUUAAAAAGAAAAAGUCCUUUGACAUUGAAGGGAAUCACAGUUUUGUAGAUUAAGCAAAUGUAUGGAUAAUUACACUUUUCGUCUUAGCGCUUGUCAAAAUGAUAAUUAAUUGACUUAUUGUUUAUCUCCCUCACCAGGGAAUAGACCAGGGCUACCAGUUCAAUAUUAUUCCCAACACCUAAUCCAAUACUUGGCACAUAAGAGGGGAAGAAUGCAUAUUUGUUGAAUCAAUUACUGAAUUAUAGCUAUAGAAUAAUAUUCUAAUAGUGACACAUCUGAACUUCAGUGGAGGCGACUACGAUCUAUUUAACUCUGAGCAGAAGAAUCAGAGGUUUCAUAAAAAAGACCACGUCCAAGCUGAGACUUUUAAGAAUCAGUAGGAGAUGGAGUGCCUGGGUGGCUUAAGUCGGUUAAGCAUCCGACUUCAGCUCAGGUCAUGAUUUCAUGGUUUGUGGGUUUGAGCCCCACAUCGGGCUCCACGCUGUCAGCCCAGAGCCUGUAGUCUGCGUCAGCUUUCUGUGUCUCCCUCUCUCUCUGCCCCUCCCGCUCGCACUCUCUCUCUCUCUCUCAAACAUAAAUAAACAUUACAAGAAACUUUAAGGAUCAGUAGGAGUUGAAGAAAACAGGUUAAGUUGGAUGCUGCUGCAGUGAAGUAAAUAGAGGAGGUGUCAGGAGAUAGAGCUGGGAAGAGCUUUUUUCUGUAAGCCGGCAUUUCCAACAGUGUCUUCUGAGGAUGCUGGUCUCGCCUGUUAUUCAGAGAAAACCAUUUUCCGUGUGCUGGUAAAUGUUUAACAAUUGGAUCGCCUGAAAAUAUAAAAAGUCCUGAUUUGUAACGCUGGCCAGGAAUAGAUGCAGAGCAGCACGCUACUUUGUAGAAUUUCUACCAUCCAGAUGCAGGAGAUACACGUGACUCCGAGAACAAGAAAAAAAUGGAGAGCCUCAGAGGUAGGCCCCCGUCUCUCAUUGCUUCCUCUGAACUCGACAUGACAAGGACUCUCUUCUGCCCAGAAAGAAACAGCUUCAUGUCAAGGCAACUUGGAAGUUGGAAGUUGAAGGAAACUGUUAUGUAAAUAAAGAAGACUGAUAAAACAGAAGAAAAUGGGGCAAGUAAAGACACCUUGUUCAGGAAAAAAAAAACCAAGAAGGCAUACAAUAAAAAUUACUUCUUUAAACAAAGACUGAAAUGUUUCUAUGAUUUAUCACAGGUUGAAUUAUAUGUAGCUCUGGCUCCUGAGGUAAUCUCAAAUCCAAUAUAUUUGCAAACAACCAUGUCCUAGAGUCUUUGCUAUACAAUACAACAUGCUUAAAGCUAAAACUGAAAUCAAAAAGAAACAGUAUGAAUAAGGAAGUUAAGAUGAUGAAGGCUUACCUAGGGGAGACAUUCAUCAACAUCCAGACAUGUGACUAUUUGGUGCAAACUUGAUUUAUAGAUGUAUAAAACUCCACAACCCCUAAAAAUUAAAACUUUUAUUUCCUACAUGAAGUUUAGUAUGUUUAAGGCC